rnacentral:snRNA from 1 species
GUGCUUGCUUUGGCAGCACAUACACUGAAAUUGAAACAAUAGAUUAGCAUGACUGCUGCAUAAGAGCAACAUGCAAAUACAUGAAGGGAAAAACUUUAGG